GGGAAGAUGGCUCAGUGGUAGAGCGCUUGCCUUGCAUGUAUGAGGCCCUGGGUUUAAUUCCUCAGUACCACCU
rfam:Dipodomys ordii contig_9917, whole genome shotgun sequence.